ACUAUUUCUGCACUAGGAUGUGACGGAAAGGUUGACAAAGAAAUGCAAUAGGCGAAAUUAUUGAGGAGUCUGGACUACAGGGUCAGCUUGCUAACCUUGUAGUCCCAGCCAAUGGAAAAGAAUCACGCCAUUAAACAUAGCUGAGAUCAGCUUACUUGCCACAUCAUUUCAAUACAGCUCCACACUUAACAGCCGUCAGCCCCGCUGCAUUAACCCUCCAUGCAAAUUCAAAUUUUAAUUUGAAAAUUGGGCGGGUUGGUGAAGGUAAAACUAAAAACUGAAGAAGCUUUUCAUUUUCCUCAAUCUUUUAUCUCUUUCUAUUCAUCAUCACCACCAUUGCAACGUUGGCAACAUUUCUGCACUUGCUUGUGGGUUCAUGUUAGUGUGGCGCUGACAGACUCAUUCAGAGUAAGCCUAUUCUCCAUGCCUAUUAGUGUUUUGUAUUGGGUGCAAGUUGUAAUUAUGAGUGUUUAGGAGGAAAAUUUUAGUUUGGAAGCGUUUUGUGUUGGGUGCAAGUUGUAAUUAUGAGUGGCUAGGAGGAAAAUUUUAGUUUGGAAGCAAAAGAGGUAUAUGGGUAGCUUUGUAAUUAGGUGGAAGGCCUUUUAUAAAGAAGAAAGUUAAUUUCUAGCAUGGCAUAAGGACGUCACGACCUGGUUCCUGGGUGCAGAGUUGCUAUUGCUCUAGGCCACCUUCCGGCAUAUUUUGGAUUAUGUUCCCUAGCUAUAAUGCUUAAGUGUGAACCAUUGUUUAUUAUCCAGGAGAAGUUCAAUAUCAGUUGGAUCAAUUUCUAGGCAAAAACAAACACUAUGUUGUUGCUGAACAUCAAAAAUUGUUGAUGGUUGGAGUGGUUCCUUUAUCCAAGGGAGCUGUUAGUAGUCGAUUAGUAUUAGAAUUUAGCAAAUAAAUUCCUAGUUUUUUGGUAGAGAUAUCUGAUUGAGUUAUUAGAUUAUUUUAUGCUCAAUUAUCUUAUCAUUGUAAUUCGGUUGAUAAUCAAUUUUGUAACAAACACUGUUAUUUAAACAAUGAGAUUUGAAUAAUAAAGCAGGUAGAUUAAUUCUAGAAA